AUGAUUCUGGGGUGUAUUAAUAGGAGUGUUGUAUGUAAGACACAUGAAAGAAUUCUUCCGCUCUGCUCUGCACUGACUAGGCCUCUGCUGGAGUACCGUGUCCCGUUCUGGGCGCCACAUUUCAGGAAGGAUGUGGACAAAUCAGAGAGAGUCCAGAGAAGAGCCACACAAAUGAUUAAAGGUCUAGAAAACAUGACCUCUGAGGGAAGAUUGA